rnacentral:rRNA from 1 species
GUUGAACGCUGGCGGCAUGCCUAACACAUGCAAGUCGAGCGCAGCUGCGGCCGGGUGAGUAAUGCCUAGGUAUCUGCCUGGUAGUGGGGGAUAACGUCCGGACACGGGACCUAAUACAACAUACUAUCAGAUGAGACUAGGUCGGGGUAGCGAGUUGGUGGGGGAAUGGCCUACCAAGGCGACGAUCCGUAGCUGGUCUGAGAGGAUGAUCAGUCACACUGGAACUGAGAAACGGUCCAGACUCGUACGGUAGGCAGCAGUGGGGAAUAUUGGGCAAGGGGCGAAAGACUGAUGCAGCCAUGCCGCGUGUGUGAAGAAGGUCGGCGGAUUGUAAAGCACUGUUAGUAGUGAGGCGUUACCUAAAGAAAAAGCACCGGCUAACUACGUGCCAGCAGCCGCGGUAAUAC